GAUGAACGCUGGCGGCGUGCCUAAUACAUGCAAGUCGAGCGAACAGAUGAGGAGCUUGCUCCUCUGACGUUAGCGGCGGACGGGUGAGUAACACGUGGAUAACCUACCUAUAAGACUGGGAUAACUUCGGGAAACCGGAGCUAAUACCGGAUAAUAUAUUGAACCGCAUGGUUCAAUAGUGAAAGACGGGUUUGCUGUCACUUAAAGAUGGAUCCGCGCCGCAUUAGCUAGUUGGUAAGGUAACGGCUUACCAAGGCAACGAUGCGUAGCCGACCUGAGAGGGUGAUCGGCCACACUGGAACUGAGACACGGUCCAGACUCCUACGGGAGGCAGCAGUAGGGAAUCUUCCGCAAUGGGCGAAAGCCUGACGGAGCAACGCCGCGUGAGUGAUGAAGGUCUUCGGAUCGUAAAACUCUGUUAUUAGGGAAGAACAAAUGUGUAAGUAACUAUGCACGUCUUGACGGUACCUAAUCAGAAAGCCACGGCUAACUACGUG
rnacentral:rRNA from 1 species